rnacentral:rRNA from 1 species
AUUGAACGCUGGCGGCAUGCUUUACACAUGCAAGUCGAACGGUAACAGGCCUUCGGGCGCUGACGAGUGGCGAACGGGUGAGUAAUGCAUCGGAACGUGCCCAGUCGUGGGGGAUAACGCAGCGAAAGCUGUGCUAAUACCGCAUACGAUCUGCGGAUGAAAGCGGGGGACCUUCGGCCUCGCGCGAUUGGAGCGGCCGGCGUCAGAUUAGGUAGUUGGGGGGGUAAAGGCUCACCAAGCCAAGGAUCUGUAGCUGGUCUGAGAGGACGACCAGCCACACUGGGACUGAGACACGGCCCAGACUCCUACGGGAGGCAGCAGUGGGGAAUUUUGGACAAUGGGCGCAAGCCUGAUCCAGCAAUGCCGCGUGCAGGAAGAAGGCCUUCGGGUUGUAAACUGCUUUUGUACGGAGCGAAAAGGCUCCCUCUAAUACAGGGGGCUCAUGACGGUACCGUAAGAAUAAGCACCGGCUAACUACGUGCCAGCCGCCGCGGUAAUAC